AUUGAACGCUGGCGGCAGGCCUAACACAUGCAAGUCGAACGGUAACAGGAAGCAGCUUGCUGCUUUGCUGACGAGUGGCGGACGGGUGAGUAAUGUCUGGGAAACUGCCUGAUGGAGGGGGAUAACUACUGGAAACGGUAGCUAAUACCGCAUAACGUCGCAAGACCAAAGAGGGGGACCUUCGGGCCUCUUGCCAUCGGAUGUGCCCAGAUGGGAUUAGCUUGUUGGUGGGGUAACGGCUCACCAAGGCGACGAUCCCUAGCUGGUCUGAGAGGAUGACCAGCCACACUGGAACUGAGACACGGUCCAGACUCCUACGGGAGGCAGCAGUGGGGAAUAUUGCACAAUGGGCGCAAGCCUGAUGCAGCCAUGCCGCGUGUAUGAAGAAGGCCUUCGGGUUGUAAAGUACUUUCAGCGGGGAGGAAGGGAGUAAAGUUAAUACCUUUGCUCAUUGACGUUACCCGCAGAAGAAGCACCGGCUAACUCCGUGCCAGCAGCCGCGGUAAUACGGAGGGUGCAAGCGUUAAUCGGAAUUACUGGGCGUAAAGCGCACGCAGGCGGUUUGUUAAGUCAGAUGUGAAAUCCCCGGGCUCAACCUGGGAACUGCAUCUGAUACUGGCAAGCUUGAGUCUCGUAGAGGGGGGUAGAAUUCCAGGUGUAGCGGUGAAAUGCGUAGAGAUCUGGAGGAAUACCGGUGGCGAAGGCGGCCCCCUGGACGAAGACUGACGCUCAGGUGCGAAAGCGUGGGGGAGCAAACAGGAUUAGAUACCCUGGUAGUCCACGCCGUAAACGAUGUCGACUUGGAGGUUGUGCCCUUGAGGCGUGGCUUCCGGAGCUAACGCGUUAAGUCGACCGCCUGGGGAGUACGGCCGCAAGGUUAAAACUCAAAUGAAUUGACGGGGGCCCGCACAAGCGGUGGAGCAUGUGGUUUAAUUCGAUGCAACGCGAAGAACCUUACCUGGUCUUGACAUCCACAGAACUUUCCAGAGAUGGAUUGGUGCCUUCGGGAACUGUGAGACAGGUGCUGCAUGGCUGUCGUCAGCUCGUGUUGUGAAAUGUUGGGUUAAGUCCCGCAACGAGCGCAACCCUUAUCCUUUGUUGCCAGCGGUCCGGCCGGGAACUCAAAGGAGACUGCCAGUGAUAAACUGGAGGAAGGUGGGGAUGACGUCAAGUCAUCAUGGCCCUUACGACCAGGGCUACACACGUGCUACAAUGGCGCAUACAAAGAGAAGCGACCUCGCGAGAGCAAGCGGACCUCAUAAAGUGCGUCGUAGUCCGGAUUGGAGUCUGCAACUCGACUCCAUGAAGUCGGAAUCGCUAGUAAUCGUGGAUCAGAAUGCCACGGUGAAUACGUUCCCGGGCCU
rnacentral:rRNA from 1 species